UACGGAGGGGGCUAGCGUUGCUCGGAAUCACUGGGCGUAAAGCGUGCGCAGGCGGUUUUGUAAGCCAGAUGUGAAAGCCCCGGGCUUAACCUGGGAAUGGCAUUUGGGACUGCAAGGCUUGAGUGCGGCAGAGGAGACUGGAAUUCCCGGUGUAGCAGUGAAAUGCGUAGAUAUCGGGAGGAAUACCGAUGGCGAAGGCAGGUCUCUGGGCUGACACUGACGCUCAUGCACGAAAGCGUGGGGAGCAAACAGG
rnacentral:rRNA from 1 species